rnacentral:rRNA from 1 species
AUCUGCCCCCUGAUAAAUUAUUAAAUGGCCGCAGUAUUUUAACUGUGCAAAGGUAGCAUAAUAAUUAGUUUUUUAAUUGAAGGCUUGUAUGAAUGAUUGGACGAGAUAUAAACUGUCUCAUAAAAAUUUUUUUAAAAUUUAAUUUUUUAGUUAAAAAGCUAAAAUAAAUUUAAAAGACGAGAAGACCCCMUAGAUCUUUAUAUUUUUUUUUAUUAUUAUUUUUUAGUUUUUUUAUAAAUUAAUGAAUAAAAAUAUUUUGUUGGGGUGACAUUGAAAUUUAAUAAACUUUCAAAAUUUAAUGACAUUAAUUUAUGAAUUUAUGAUCCUUUAUUAUUGAUUAAAAAUUUAAGUUACCUUGGGGAUAACAGCGUAAUUAUUUUGGAGAGUUCACAUUGAUAAAAUAGAUUGCGACCUCGAUGU